AGAGUUUGAUCCUGGCUCAGGAUGAACGCUAGCUACAGGCUUAACACAUGCAAGUCGAGGGGAAACGACAUCGAAAGCUUGCUUUUGAUGGGCGUCGACCGGCGCACGGGUGAGUAACGCGUAUCCAACCUGCCCAUCACUUGGGGAUAACCUUGCGAAAGUAAGACUAAUACCCAAAUGGCGUCUCUAGAAGACAUCUGAAAGAGAUUAAAGAUUUAUCGGUGAUGGAUGGGGAUGCGUCUGAUUAGCUUGUUGGCGGGGUAACGGCCCGACCAAGGCGACGAUCAGUAGGGGUUCUGAGAGGAAGGUCCCCACAUUGGAACUGGAGACACGGUCCAAAACUCCUACGGGAGGCA
rnacentral:rRNA from 1 species